AAUAUUGAAAUUCUCACCUACAAUGUGAUGCUAUCAAAAGGUGAGGUCUUCGGGAGAAGUUUACUUCUUACUGGGUGGAGACACUUGGCAUUUGUAAAUGAGAAUACCAAUUUGAAGGAAGAUAAGAAAAAGAACAAAACCUCCUAGCAUAAACAGAGAUUGCUGGUGAGACAGCAGCCACUGCUCCCAGGCCCGACAACAGGGGCAGCACCAAAGCUGGUCAGUGUUUCCUCCUUACAGGUCUGAAGGUGCUGCAGAGGAGGGUGCUUCCCAGAGAUCACCCCUGUGACAGACAGAUCGAUUGAAGGACCCCUGAAUGGCUGAAUUGAGAAGAACAAGCAUAUUAGGAGGCCAUACAAUGGGAGCCUCUCAGGCAGACAGACAAAGCCGUGGAAACUGCAGACUUAUUUGUAUGUUCUGGUAAACACCUUUGCUUCAUUUUCCCCGUCUCCGCCUGGACUGAGGGUCACCUCACCUCUCCUGGUGUCCAGAGCCUCCUUCAGGACAGAUGUUGCAAACCUGAGUUCUCACAAACAGCGGGGUCCAGCCC
rnacentral:lncRNA from 10 species